AUGUUGCAAUUUAUCACGUCUAUGAAACUCUCAGAGCAAUUCCUUUAUUUUCUCUUUCCCUCUGUUUAUGUGAUUUAUUUAACCUUCAAUAUACUGUUUUCCUCUUCCUCAUGUUUAGCUUCUAAUUUGUAUUCUCUCAAUCUCUCUCUGUGUUUUGUAUUCUCUGUAUGUGUAAUCUGUAUUCUCACAUUCUCCCUGUAUAACAGGUGUAUUCACAUCUUUACACUACAGUAUUUGGCUGUUGCUACGCCCAUUGGUGACUGGCUUUCUGCAGAUCUAGGCAUUGCCUCAUUUUUAUCUACAUAAGUAUAAAGCACUGGAACAGUUACCUGGAAGAGUGAGCUGCCAUGUCUGCAGGCCAUAGCAUAUUCUACAAGCUUGCCCUAUAGAAAACAUUCUACAGGCAGAGGGUGUACACUGAAUAACUAGGCUGCAGUGAGUGAAGAUGUUGACUUGCCACAUCAAAUUGCUCAAGUAAAUAGCAUUCAGCUUUUUAUACCCAGCUCUAAGAGUAAAAUAGCUCUGAACACAGAUUGAAAGUCUAGGAAAGUCCAACUGUGGUAACCUGGGAUAGAAUACGUUAAUUACACCUCAGCAUUGCCUGUUAAUACUGCUGGUUUUGUAUGUCCAAAAUGCAGUUUUUUCUUUUGUCAGUGGAAAGAAGACAUAAGAAAAUAAAACAGAGAAAGUUUGAUCA
rnacentral:lncRNA from 1 species